GAGUAAAGAUUUCGGUCGCUUUGGGAGGAGCUCGCUUACUAUCAGCUUGUUGGUAGGGUAAUGGCCUACCAAGGCUAUGACGGUUAGGGGGUGUGAGAGCAUGACCCCCAGCAUUGGCACUGAAACACUGGCCAAACACCUACGGGUGGCUGCAGUCGAGAAUCUUCCACAAUGGGGGAAACCCUGAUGGAGCGAUGCUGCGUGCGGGAUGAAGGCCUUCGGGUUGUAAACCGCUUUUGUAGGGGACGAAAUUUUUGACGGUACCCUUUCGAAUAAGAGGUUGCUAACUCUGUGCCAGCAGCAGCGGUAAUACAGAGACCUCAAGCGUUAUCCGGAUUUACUGGGCGUAAAGCGUCUGUAGGGGGUUUAUUAAGUUCCAAGUAAAAUUUCAAGGCUCAACUUUGAAUUCGCUUGGAAAACUAAUAAACUGGAGUCUAGCAGAGGUGCAUGGAACUUGUGGUGUAGGAGUGAAAUCCGUUGAUAUCACAAGGAACACCAAAGGCGAAGGCAUUGCACUGGGCUAGCACUGACCCUGAGAGACGAAAGCGUGGGGAGCAAAACGGAUUAGAUACCCGUGUAGUCCACGCCCUAAACGAUGAAUGCUAAAUGUUCGGGGAUUCGACCCCCUGGGUGUUACAGCUAACGCGUUAAGCAUUCCGCCUGGGAAGUACGGCCGCAAGGCUAAAACUCAAAGGAAUAGACGGGGAUCCGCACAAGCGGUGGAGCGUCUGGUUUAAUUCGACAGUAAGCGUGGUACCUCACCAGGGUUUGACAUCCCUUGACAGCCUUGGAAACAAGGUUUCCUUCGGGCAAGGUGACAGGUGCUGCAUGGUCGUCGUCAGUUCGUGCCGUGAGGUGUUCCGUUAAGUCGGGAAACGAACGAAACCCCUAUUGCAUGUUACAAUUUCUCAUGCAAGACUGCCCGGAUAUACUGGGAGGAAGGUGGGGAUGACGUCAGAUCUGCAUGGUCCUUAUACCCUGGGCGACACAGGCGCUACAAUGGCAGAGACAAAGGGUUGCAAAACCGCAAGGUGAAGCUAAUCCCAAAAACUUUGUCUAAGUUCGGAUUGAAGGCUGCAAUUCGCCUUCAUGAAGCUGGAAUCGCUAGUAAUCGUGAAUCAGCCACGUCACGGUGAAUAUGUUCCCGGAUCUUGUACUCACCGCCCGUCACACCAAGAGAGUUGGUAGCUCCCGAAGCGUCCCGUUUUAGCGGGGCAUCACGGAGAGAUCAGCGAUAGGGGUGAAGUC
rnacentral:rRNA from 1 species